rnacentral:rRNA from 1 species
AUUGAACGCUGGCGGCAUGCUUUACACAUGCAAGUCGAACGGUAACAGGCCGCAAGGUGCUGACGAGUGGCGAACGGGUGAGUAAUGCAUCGGAACGUGCCCAGUCGUGGGGGAUAACGCAGCGAAAGCUGCGCUAAUACCGCAUACGAUCUAUGGAUGAAAGCGGGGGACCGUAAGGCCUCGCGCGAUUGGAGCGGCCGAUGUCAGAUUAGGUAGUCGGUGGGGUAAAGGCUCACCAAGCCAACGAUCUGUAGCUGGUCUGAGAGGACGACCAGCCACACUGGGACUGAGACACGGCCCAGACUCCUACGGGAGGCUGCAGUGGGGAAUUUUGGACAAUGGGCGCAAGCCUGAUCCAGCAAUGCCGCGUGCAGGAAGAAGGCCUUCGGGUUGUAAACUGCUUUUGUACGGAACGAAACGGCUCUGGUUAAUACCUGGGGCUAAUGACGGUACCGUAAGAAUAAGCACCGGCUAACUACGUGCCAGCCGCCGCGGUAACAC